AUUUUAAUUAAUUAUUUAUGUAUUAUUUGAAUAAUUCAGUGGCUCAAUGGGAAAUAUCAUAAUUCAGAAGUGUUGGUGUUUUGGUUUUGUUGAGCAGAAGUGUUUCUCAGUGCUGAGUCAGUACUAUGCUGUAAUGUUUUGAUGCCAUGGCAGUAACUUGUGUAAAGAAGGCUGGGUUGGGUUUCCACUGAGCUGAUAUUAUCUGCAGGCACACACGCAAACAUUCAGAUCACACGGAGUACUGUGCGUGUUUUCAGUUUCAUUUACACACAGCAAAGUGACACAUUAACACUUGAGCGAGGAUCUGUAGUUUUCCACUAUCACAGUCAUUAAAGUGUCCUCAGUGGAUGCCUCAUCUGAUCUCAUUAACUCCAUUCAGCGCUAACGAACUGUUGGUCCAGGCCUGUUGGAACAUGUUGAG